AAAAUGCUGAGUCAUGGCCUGAAGCAGUGAUGGAGCACCUGGGGGGAAGGCAGGGCCAGCCCAGGGCAGCUCAGGUGCAUGCAAUGUGCUGAGUGAUGGAAGGGCUGCAGCCAGGAUCCACCCCUUCCCAGCCCUCAUUUAAGGGUUGGCAGUGGAGGUGAGAGGUUCUUGCUGGAGGUCCCUGUGUACCUGAGGCCUUCUGAAGGUGGAGAAAUUGAUGUUUUGUCACAGGCACCAGGCGAGAACAUGGUAUUCCACAGUCACAGCAUGCCAAUGCAUCCAGCAUAGGGUGUGUAGGACAUAUUCACUUUGCAAAAUUCCUAGAAGCAAUGUGCAUGGGGUGAGCAAAAGUGGAGCAGAUGAGCUCAACUGCACUUUUUCUUCACUGUUUUACACUUUUCCACCAACUCCAGCAGUGAAGUGGCUCUGACCUCAUCCUGCUCUGUUUUAGCAGCAUCCAAACUCUCUCAGCUGAGACUCAGUGGACCCCACGGGGCUCUACAAGGGCUUAGAGCAUCUCCACUGCCUUCACUUUUGGAUGGCAGGUAAUAAUUUAUCCCCAAAUAACACCUUGCCAAAUGAAGCUGCAUGCAGCACUCCCCAAAGAGGCAGCCCGUGUUCUAAGACCAAUUGGAAAUUACAACUGCUGUCCCCCAGGACACCACAGCACUUAUUUCAGCCUUGCAGUGGAGAAAGGGGAGAAGGCUGCCAUUAAGGCUCAAACAUUUUGCACCCCGAUGCUCAUCUGAAUCAGGGUGGAUUUUACAAGGGAGGUUUCCUUACUCAUGCAACAAAGGGUACAACUGCCACCUCUUGCUUCCAUUAAAAUACCCCAUUUCCCCAUUAACCCAUCUUUCCCCUGAUCCAUAGGUGAAAAAGAAGGCUGUGUAGCCAACAUCUAAUACUCCCCAGAGCGUGUCCAGAGCUUGACAGCCUUCAAUAGGUUAAUUUUUCAAAGCGGUAAGCUGAUAUUUCUGCAUAAAAUGCACAUCUGCAGGGUAAAUGCUAUUAAGUGUCAGUGAAUUAUGGUCCCAGAGUACAGAUCACUUGAGCCUUAAUGCUACAAGCACCUUAAUGUUUUUUUGAAUGAAGUUUCUGCUAAUUGCUUCCAUAUGAUCGUUUUCUUUUUGCUUCCCUGAGUUUUUGUCCCAGGACAUACAAUGCUACAAAUAACAAGCAGUGAAACUGGAUUAAUAUGGGAUUAAUGCCUGCUCGCUGGUGGGUUUUGGCAUGGUAUUUUUGGCAUAUGGAUAACGAUGGAACUGGAUUAUAUUCCAUUAGAUGUUAGGGAUUACUCUUCUCCCCAAGCUGAAGGAGAAUGAAAGGCAGACCCUCCACUGUGCCCAUCUUUAGCCCCUGUUGAUGCCCUCCUGCUCAGUUAUUCUCAAUCCAAGACUCAGAGGCUGCCCAGGGAGUGGUGGGGUCACAUGCCUUGGGAUGUGAUGCUCAAGGAUACGGUCAGUGAGGAUCUGAGAGGUCUUUCCUGACCUCAGUAAUUCUGUGAUGCUGUGUCCAGUACACCUCCCCAGAGCUCAGACUUCACAAUCACUAAGCUGAAUUCAAAUAGCUGAAAACCAACAGAAUUCCUCCCAAAACUGGCUUUGAUUUACUGGGGGAGAAACAGAGAAGUGCUGCAUGGUGGGACCUCUGAUUUACAGCCUCUAUAUUUUAUGGCUGGGUCCUGGGGGCUUACAGAUAUUACAGUAAAGCCCCAAAGCAGCCGACUGAAUUAGCAGCACUUGAAAUACAACAAAAAGCCCUCGGGCUGCUGGAGGCUUUUGCUGUGUAGAACCCCUUCGUUAAAGCCUGAAUCCCUUAUUCUGGUCAUGCCUGGAUGCACCUCUGUUGUUGAUAACAUGAUUAACCUCUUGUAGGGUAAGAAAGGAGAAGAAGUGGCUCAAAGGAUGCGGGUGAGGAGGCGGUUAUCAGUGCUGGGGUUCAGCUCAGGUCAUGCUGCUGGUGGGGACAGUGACUGGUUGGUAUUUCCCCCCCUCCAAGGAGAGCCAGAAGAGGUAAAAGCAUUUGGCCUUUGGGAAGGCAGAGGCUGUCAGAGGUGCAUUUCUCAGCUCACCAUACGUCAGUGCCUUGUCUUGAAGGGAGAGAGUGGGGUGCUUGCAGAAGUUGGGAGGAUGACUCCAAACUAGAGAAAUCUGUAUCAAAAUCCUUAUGGCCAUCACAGUGGUGUUGAGGUAUCUUCCCCUGGGUGGGAAUGUAAUCGUGGGUCCCAUGGAAACACUGAUUUGAGAUUUUUAUUGCAAACAUUGUCUACCAGGAAUGAAAGAAUGGGAACUGCAGAAGGCAUUUGCAGACCAAAGCCAGGGGAUUUCUUGUGGCUUAAUAUAAACCACAUCCUUUCUCUCACAAAAUAUGCACGUCUGCCAGGAUGACUUUCCAUCCACCUGUGCUUGUGUCACUUCAAAUUGAAACUCCUUCCCCAGAAGAGUGACUCUGCAGAUAUGUGUAUACAUAUGGGACUAUAUUUGCCUGUUUGUUUUAUGUAAUAUCUAUGCAAAAUACUUGUAGUUAUUAGGGGAAAAGCACACAGGAAGGGGUCAGCCUUUUCUGUAAGGGGAACUUAGUUUGGAUUAAGGAAAGGAGUGACCUGAAAGCAGGAUUGCUCUCCCCAAAGACCCCCCUGAUGGAUCCAGGAGUGCUGCACUGCGCUGGUGCCACAGGGAGAGGAUGGGAUGGAGGGAGCUAUGCGUGUUCCCCUCAGCAUCCCCAGCAGGGAAUGGUUCUGGCUGGGACUGGGCUGGUUUGUGUCCAGGUUACAUCAGCUCAGAGCAACCUUGGCUGUAAACAGGAAUAAACACAUCCAUGUAGUAAUUUAUGCAUAAAUUAAUUUGACUUCAGUAAUUAGCCAGAAGGAAGUUUACCCUAACCAGUAAACCUCAGUGGAUGGGGAAUUCAUUAAGCAUCUCUGCUUUGCCAAGUGCAGGGCUAGUUUUGCAAUUCAAAGAUUUCAUUUUUAAAUUGUAUUUUGUUCAGCUUUUGGGUUUAUUUUUUGGCAGGGGAAAAUCUCUCACCUCCAAACUCCAACUCAAUGCAACAGAGAAGAGUCUGCAGCACUGGGGCUAACUCCUUCUCUCAGGGCUUUGCCCAGGAGCCUCAUGGGCUGGUGGUACCCAGACAGCCUCAAAGCAGCCAUGGGCUGCUGACCCGAGCAGCUGGGUGCCCAUGAAGAUGCACUGUUUGCUGGGUGGGCUUCUGGAGAGAGCAGGAUGCUGCGCUUCCCUGCUUUGUGCUCAUCACUGUGGCCCCACAAAUCAGCACAGCCGGAGGCCAGGGAAGAUUUCUUUGAUUGCCUUUUACUUCACUCCAUUGCAUUUCUUACUCAGUUUUCUUGGCUGGAUAUAAAGCCUGGUGCUGGUGGGGUGUAUUGCCAGCAGGGAGCAAGGGGAGCUUGCAACCAGCAGGCAGCAUUGCAAUGCAGCAAGUGGCAGAAACUGAAAUGUGCUUCCGCAAGGACCACACUGAGGAAGAAGAGGGAGAAACUCAGCAAACUUUCGGGGUUAACAUCAGAUCCCACCCUCUUUUGGCUUGUGGGAGAGGGUUGUACGUGCAGGCUGCUGCCAGAAGGCAUCAGAGGUUGGUGCUACAUUUCUCUGGGGCAAUAGGUUAUGAAAUCACCCCAAAAUGGUGAUUCCCAUCAUUCUCCUAGGAGGUGAGCAGGAUGAAAUCCUCCCUCUGCUCUCUUGCUGAUGGGCUAAAGCCAUGCUGGACUUAUUACAGGGCAGGAAGGUGGGGGGGGGCGGGGAAGGGGGGGGGGGGGAGGGAAGGGAAUAAUAUGGCAUUCUGACACCUUUCCCCCCUCCUCCUUGCAUCCUGUGAGAAGGAGAUUUUUGCCUCUUACGGUGCUGAUGACUUCUACCUGCCCAUGGGAGGAGGGCCCUGGGCUUUGGGGACAGGAGGGGGCCCAGCUGAGGGUGGGCUUGGAAGAUGUAUGAGGAAGGAGAUGCAUCAGUUUGACUAAAGCUGAGCAAAUCCCCUCUUUCCCAGCGCUGACAGAGGGGUGGUGUAUGUUUCACUUCUUUUUUUUACUUUUUAAAAGCAAAAUGUAGGAGGAAAGUGGCGUUCCUGGAGAGAUACGUUCAUAUUUCAUCUUAUUUUGGCAGGGGGAUGGGAAGGAGCUGCAGAUGGGUGCAGUGGCAGCGCACCUCUUACAGCACAGAGCAGCCCCAGACCUCACUGCCAUGGCCAGCAGCAACAAAAGACACCACUGAUAUUUUCAUAAUCCUUUCCCCCACCUCCUCUUUUAUCCCAGAGCUGAAAAAAACAGCAACAGAAAGAUGCUUUACUGUGCAGGGUAAACCCUGAGCCACAGAACUGUGGGGUCAUGGGUGGGAGAGCUCACCCCUCUCCUGCGUAGCCUCAAAUGGGAUUCUUUUUAAUAAUGGUUUGGUAAUGGGAGUGUUCCUAUUUGCAUGCUGCAGCACAUUGAGGUUUUCCAAAGGAGAUGCAGAGAGGGGGUCUCAGUUGUGCUCAUAAAGUCUGGGAAGUCAGAAAAUUCAGAUUUGACCUCAGGGAAAUGAGGAAGAGGUGGAAUCCAUUAAGAAGUCGUGGCCAAAUCACUGCACUGAGUUUAAAAGUUGUGUUCAAUCAGUUGGUGGUGGUGGCUUUGGGAAAGGGCUGGAAGUCAGUUUUUGGUGUUAAUGGUUUUUCUUUCCCAGAGGCAAUCUGAUCUGAUGUUCUGUUUGUCCCACAGCACAGUGCAGCCCGGCAGCUUCACUCGGGCUGCAAGAGAGUUGGAGGUCUUCAGCCAGGCACCUCUGGUUUGCUCAGAGGACUGCCUGAUACCCACUGCCAGUUGCAUGGGGGUGAAGGAGGUUUGUGUGUAGAAUGUCUGACACCGAUACAGGUGAGGAGGGAAGCAGUGCCUGGAGGUGCUGAGGUUGGUGAAGACUCUGCAGGAGGGGAGCAGCGCCGGGAGCGGAGCCCUCCCUGCAUCACCUGCACGUUCUCAUCUCGAGAUCCGCGGGGAACGCGAAGAAGCCGCCUUAGGAUGCGGGCAAAGCGUUGGGCAUCGGGAUCUGCUCCGGGCAUCCCCAGGAAGGGGCGGGAGGAGCUGUGUGUGCAUUCCAAGGGCUGCACUGCCACCUCCAGGUCUGCACAGCCCCACACAGCUGCGGCUCCGGCGCCGUCCCCGUUCAGCGCUGCAGAGGGGUUGGAGAGAGGAGCGCUCAACUAUUUGCGAUGAUUUCUUUUUUUCUUUCCUUUUUAAUUGUAGAUGAAAGACCGCACGAUGUCUCUUUCCGUAUGAAUUUCUCAUUGCAGAAUGACGGCGCAUCGAUGUGAGAAACCGGGCGUUUCUAUGAGAUGACGGCAUUGUUUUUUUUCUGCCCUGCCAGAACAGUGCUGUCCUCCUCCUGCAUGGCCAUCUCCUCGCCUAUGAGCAUCGCAUUGCUGCGGGGCAGCUGCGUGCGGGGUUGCGUUGGCCCCGCGCACCGGGAGGUGGCACUGCAGCCGCAGCUUUGCGUGCCUAUGCACAGGUAAAGUGUGUUUUACUGGGAAAACAGUGGGAAGGAGCAAAACGUGGGAGCGUGGAGCAAGGAGGGUUUCCCUGGCACUUGUAAGUGGUCUUUAAUUCUUAUCAUUUCUAUGUUUUGCUUUUCUGGAUACACUUUCACUGAGCCAGUAAUGGGAUUAAAGAGGCAUUUUACCACCAGGCCUAAAUAUACCUAUAGAACAAAGACUGGCUCUGAUGCACAUGCAUGUUUGUAUCAAACUGGAAAGCACCAGCAGAGAAAAGCUGGCAACCACAAACCCAUCAGUAAAUGCCCUCUGGGGACAGGCUCUGUGUCCCCAAGCUUUGCCAUGUGCUGCCCUGCACCCAGGGGACAGGCAGUGUAAUUCCACCUUCUGUCCCUUCCUGCAUCUCAGUGCAAAUCAGACCACCCAACAGGUGAAAUGAAGACAUUAAAUGUAAGUAAUAUGCAGGGAUUUCUUCCCCAAAUCCUCCUUUCAUCCCUGCAUUCGUGGGCUGACUCCUUGGAUGUUCUGUGCUGCCAGUUCAGCCCGGAGCAGCCAGGGCUCAGCUCACACGGCCAGGCAGAAAUACACCGCUGCUCUCAUGUCUUCAAACUGCACCUCUCUGUAUAUACAUCUGUACAGCCAGGAUGCUCUGCAAAUGGUAAAUCAGCAAGCUAUAUCUUGCAGAUAAUUAUUUGUAUUAUUAUUAUUGUUUAUGAAGUGGAGGGAAAACAAUUAAAACUUCCAUUGGAGGGAAAAAAACCUGCAAGAAAUCAGAGCCCACAUUUAAUCUUCAGUCUUCAAAAGUUUCUUGGAAAGCUUAAUUAAAUGGUAAUUCAUCUGUGCAUUGGCUCUGCCUUGUAAAGCCUGAUAAUGCUGGAGUCUUAAUUAAAAAAAAACUAAUGCAGCUUUGAGUUUUUAUUCUGCCAGUUCAAGGGGAAAAAUCACCAGCCAGUGCUGUCAAUAGAGCUGAGAGAUGCCUCAGCAUUGCAUUGAUUUUAUUCUGUUUAAAGUCACAGUGUCAGUUUAGGUAAUCAUAUUAAAAGUUAUUCUGCCUUUAUGUAUUGAUUUGCUCAUAGGGAUGGGUUGCAGGCAUUGGGGGGACUGCAGCACCCAAUGGAAGGGGCUCUGAGAAGAGAGGGGCUUUGAGCAGCGCUGCUGGAGAAGCCUUUAAGUUCAUAUUUCUCAGCAAACAGGAGCACCCAGCAGGGAAUCCAAGCAUUUGCCUUUUUCCCCCUCAAACAUCAUAUUUUUGGUCAGUGGCACCGUGGAGCUGACAGGGAGGUGCUGUCACCACCAGGAAGGGGUUUUUUUGGGUGCUGUCAAGUUGGCUGUUCUUCUGCUUUCGUGCCAUGCUCUGAUAGCAAAAAUAUCUCUGACUUUGCUGCUGGAUCUGCUCUCCUUCCAGACAGUGAUGUAAGGGCCUCUUUAAUGCUAAUUAAUGCAAUGACACAAUGAAUUAAUACUGUAUUAGGCAAAGCUGUUAAUUAUACUGAAAUAAAACAAAAGAAUAAAGGAAGCAAAGCGGGGAGAGAAGCGACAGCCUGUGCUUGCCUUCCCCCUCAGCAUCCUCCACACUCAAGGAAAAACCAACCUCGGGAGCAUCCCUGUAGUAUCCUUGAGACUGAAGAAGACCACUGAGACCAUGAAGUGCAACCAUCAGCCCAUCAAAGCCCUAUGCCAGCCCCAGAGCACAGGUUUGGUUGGUAGGACAGAGAAGCGCCUCCGUGCCUCAGUUUCCCCACGCCACGCAGUGCUGUCAGAUCCAUUGCCACCAAUUAAUUUCCAAAAACAUCGAUUAAAAACCAUUAAUGAGCGGGCUGUGGCUGGCAUCCUCCUGCCUUCCACAAGGCAGCAGUUUGGUUCAGACACUGCUGCCUUUAAAUUAUUAACUGGCCGACAAGCGCAGCCGCUAACGAAGCGCUCCUGGCUGGCGCGGUGCUUGAAGCUGUCACAGGCAGCAUGAAAAACCCUCUGAUGCUGCUCGAGUUAAGGAGAAGCACAUCAUUUUGCUUGCUUUUUAAUGCUGCUUUCCCCCCCUUUUUCUUUCCAGACUUGAUGUUAAUUCAGAAAUAAUUGGGAAAUGUGGAAUUUGAAGUCUGAAUUUUUUUUUCCUAAUGCAGGAAAAUGGGUGGAUUUUUUUUUUAGGGUGUCUGUUUGGGAGUUGUUGGUGCUAAUAGCUGCUGGGUUAUGUGGUGUGCAGCCAGUGGAGGGUCUGCACUGGGGGUGAUGUGCAGAAUAUCACUGCCUUGCCCAGCGCAGUCUAUGGCACAAAGCAAAGUCAGGGCUGAGCACUGCUGCUAGCCUAUGGGGCUGAAUGUGGGGUUUCUCUCCAGUUUUGUGCUUUGUCCUCUCCAUUUUCCCUAAUGACUUCACAUUAACCUCCCCCAGGUUUUCCACCUUUGUGAUGCCCUGGGAAAAGUUCUAAGCAAGCAUUUUCCUCCCCAAGUUCUACUCUGCAAAGUGUGCUCCUCAAGCAAAGCACAGAGAGAAGGCAUUUGAUGGAAACAUUUGUAGCUAUGGAAACCAUUGAUUGCUGCUAAUGAAGCCUCCCCAUCUCCGGCAGGCGGUGAGGGGUGCGAGUUGGAUGUGGUGGCGAUGUUCCAGCAGGAAUUUGGGAUCAAUCUAGUGCUCAUAGGACUCCGCUCAUCACUUUCAGCUCUUGCAUAGCCCUUUUGUGCAGAUGGGAAUGGCUUUCUGCAAGAGCAACGGCCAAAGACCAUUGUUGGAGGGUGGCAUCCACCCAAAAAGAAAGGAAACCUGGGCUCACUGCUAGAGCAACGUGGGAAAAUCAACACCUUGGCAACAUGAGCACACUGCAGAUCUGGAAACAGCACUAAACCUGUCCUGGCUGCACAUGGGAAAAGAGCAGAAGGUGAAGGUUCCCCCAUGCCUGGAGCACCUCUUGUAAUGGGCGCAUCCCUUUGUUGGUGGGAGUCUCGGAGGAGAUUGCUGCUAUCUGUAUUGUGAGGUGGACACGAGCUUUCUGACCUGCUUUAAGUCAUCUGCCCCAUGUUUGAUCCCCACAUCUGGAUUUUGCAGUUCAAAG
ensembl:lncRNA